rnacentral:rRNA from 1 species
AGUGAACGCUGGCGGUAGGCCUAACACAUGCAAGUCGAACGGCAGCACAGUAAGAGCUUGCUCUUACGGGUGGCGAGUGGCGGACGGGUGAGGAAUACAUCGGAAUCUACUUUUUCGUGGGGGAUAACGUAGGGAAACUUACGCUAAUACCGCAUACGACCUACGGGUGAAAGCAGGGGAUCUUCGGACCUUGCGCGAUUGAAUGAGCUGAUGUCGGAUUAGCUAGUUGGCGGGGUAAAGGCCCACCAAGGCGACGAUCCGUAGCUGGACUGAGAGGAUGAUCAGCCACACUGGAACUGAGACACGGUCCAGACUCCUACGGGAGGCAGCAGUGGGGAAUAUUGGACAAUGGGCGCAAGCCUGAUCCAGCCAUACCGCGUGGGUGAAGAAGGCCUUCGGGUUGUAAAGCCCUUUUGUUGGGAAAGAAAAGCAGCAGGUUAAUACCCCGCUGUUCUGACGGUACCCAAAGAAUAAGCACCGGCUAACUUCGUG